CUAUCCGGAGGCUCUGAGUUGCGAGAACUACAACUCCCACAAGGCUGCGCACAGCGGGCCCUCCCCGGGAGGUAUUACCCCGCCCCCGGCAGUGGGCCUAGCUCCUCGGGCCGGCAGGUUGGAAGUCACGAGAACUGGCGGCCAGCGUGUGUAGGAGUGAAUCCGCUAGUUUGCCAAGCUGAUUGGCAGAAAAAGCAAGCCUGCACCCUCCAAGCUGCACUAUUACACCUGGGAGACAAGCCUCAACCAGAAGUCCCUGAAGAAAUUCUACAAAAGUCAUAAAAUUUCUGUGUGCUCCAAGGACAAUGGUGCUUCAAGGACAAAGGACGACCCUGCCUGAAAAAGUGUCAGCAUUACACCCCUGCCGGACUCUUAAUCGCCCUCCCCACCAGGUUGCAUGGUUAUGAAAUUCCUGAGCCCACCUGGGCUACGCCCACCUGGGCAACGGGACCUGUCCCAAAUAAGGAAAGGCAUCUGGGCUGUCCCAUUCUCACCCUAUAGAAGGAAGGUAUAUGUGCCUCGACCAAUCAGUAAACGAAAUUUUCACCUCGGACCAUUCCUUUGUUUUCUGGCUGUAAAAACUGAUCAGUACCACAUGUUCGGGCUCAACUAGGAAGCUGAACCCAAACUGGAAGUUGUCUCCCAGACUACUAGAAAGUCGGCCCGCUGUUCUGGCAGUGACC